CUGAGUACUAAAGAUAUCCAUCAACACAUAUUGUAUUUGAAGCUAAAACAUGGAAUAUAUCCUCAGAUAAACACCUAAUAUCUUGGUGUGAAAGGAACCAAAACCCAGGCUCCUAAAUCAUCCAAAGCCAGGGAUCAACAUUGCCACCAUGGACUUAAAAAAUGAUUGUUCUGUGGCUUCUGUAUAGCAGUAGGAUCUUAAAGCUUCAGUGUUGCCCGCAAGCUCAUCUUACUCCUCCAGCUCCUAUGGUCCUGGCAUCUUUAAGCCACAAGCAUUUUGAUCUUGGACAUCACGUACACAGGGAACUCCUCGCACAGUUCCACAAACA